AGGCUUAAUGGGAAACUGCACUAUUAUUACUAUUAAUAUUAUCAACUUGUUUGUGGCCAUAAUAAAUCUGACCAUCAGAAUGUUUUCGCUUAGGUGUGAGGAAGAGAAAGCGACGAUUACGGCGAAACUAGAGGAGACAGUCCAAAAUGCUUAGAAAAUUCGUAAUCAGCGCGUCAAAAUCUAUCGGUUUAAAUUGAAUCUGAGACAUGUUCAAAAAUACUAGUUUUUAUGUGUGUUAACGGA